UACGGGGGGGGCAAGCGUUGUUCGGAAUUACUGGGCGUAAAGGGCUCGUAGGUGGCCAACUAAGUCAGACGUGAAAUCCCUCGGCUUAACCGGGGAACUGCGUCUGAUACUGGAUGGCUUGAGUUCGGGAGAGGGAUGCGGAAUUCCAGGUGUAGCGGUGAAAUGCGUAGAUAUCGGGAGGAACACCUGUGGCGAAGGCGGCCCCCUGGUUGGAUACUGACGCUGAUACGCGAAAGCGUGGGGAGCAAACAGG
rnacentral:rRNA from 1 species